AUUAAUCGACGGUAUAAAUUAAACGGAACCGAGUCAAUUGAAACAGUUGAACCAUUCCAUUUACCGUUUCGAAUGUAUGAUUAAGCAAGCAUAAACAAAUACGCGAUUUUCCGUGAAUGCAAUUCAAUCGCGAGGCAUAUGGUCGUUACUCACGAUAUAAUUCAAGGAGGAAUAAAUUGAAUUCUUUAAAAGUGGGGGUAAGAAAUUAGAAGUCUCGAGAAAUUGAAAACUCCGAUAUUCGUUGAAAAAUGCAAUGAAAAUUGAGCUGUUGUAGAUAAUGAAGGAAUGCAAAGCCGACAUGACACUUGUUCAUUGAUUGCACGGAGAUACUUCUACCCUGAGAAAGCGAAGAAGGGGAGAAAGUUACGGGAAAAUCAUUGGCUUCCCGUAUGCGCCAUCACGUCGUUCACAAAGACAAGAAGACGAACAGGCUUGAGCGUUCUGGCAACUUAGGUACAUACUUACACACGCCUACUAUCACGUCGAACAUAAUUUACGGUAUUCGUCGUUUGAUUUAUGAUUUAAAUAACCCGAAAGGGGACAUUCGAAACGCUCGAAACGAGCUUUCCUGCAGCGGAAACACGCGACAGUCGCAUGUCUUUACGACUCUAAGUUUCUCCGUGCUUUCAGGGAUAAAAUGUCAAUCGGCUAAUUAAAGAAACGAGACAUUCGCGAGACAAGUUCUGGUAUAUGGCUCGAGCUCGAUGUUGGUAUGUGGUUGAUAUUCGAUGGAUGAUUUAAGUAUAUUUGUGGAGAUUGGCGAAGUGAAGGAAGUAGAUGUUAUGUAGGAGGAACAGGAACUGUUGGAUCAUGUGAGAAAAAAAGAUUUAAAAAAUUAGGAACAUUUAAUGAUAAGUAUUUAAAUAUGUGAACUACAUUUAAUGUGAUGGAAGGACUGUAUUAUCGUAAUAGCAAUAAGAGAAACUUUCUUAUCUCUGUUACGAUCAAGUUGAAAGAAAAAAAAAAUGUAAAAAAAAAAGAAAGGAAUAAAGAAUAUAAUUCAAUAAUUCAAUGUAAUUCAAGAAUUCAAAAUAAUAUAAAAAAUAAUAUAAAUAAAGAAAAAUUUAGAGAGAAAUGACAAAGAAACUGUUACUGUUUAAAAUACUUGCAGUACAAAAAUACUUAGAAAAACUCGAUAUAAUUAAAAAUACUUUACUCUCUUGUACAAAGGUAGGAAUAAAAGAAUUUAAUUUUGUAUUUAUGUACAUCACUGUUUUGGCUUCUCACAGCUCAUUGUCCAUCUAUUUACACCAUCAUUCUCUCAUCCAAGCACAAGUUUCACUAUUAUUGUUACGAUAU